rnacentral:rRNA from 1 species
UGGGGAAUAUUGCGGCAAUGGGGGAAACCCUGACGCAGCAACGCCGCGUGAUUGAAGAAGGUCUUCGGAUUGUAAAAAUCUUUUAUCAAGGACGAAGAAGUGACGGUACUUGAUGAAUAAGCUCCGGCUAACUACGUGCCAGCAGCCGCGGUAAUACGUAGGAAGCAAGCGUUAUCCGGAUUUACUGGGUGUAAAGGGCGAGUAGGCGGAUUGGCAAGUUGGGAGUGAAAUGUCGGGGCUUAACCCCGGAACUGCUUCCAAAACUGUUGAUCUUGAGUGAUGGAGAGGCAGGCGGAAUUCCCAGUGUAGCGGUGAAAUGCGUAGAGAUCGGGAGGAACACCAGUGGCGAAGGCGGCCUACUGGGCUUUAACUGACGCUGAGGCACGAAAGCAUGGGUAGCAAAC